ensembl:lncRNA
UUACCUCCAGCGGCCGCCCCCUCCCCGCCAGGGUCUGCACAGCCGCCUCGCCGCGCCCCGUGCACCCCGCGGCAGGCGCGAGCUGCGCAGCGGCUCCGCAUUCGGGCCCGGCGGCGGCCGCCGCUGCCCGGGCGUGAGCGAGCCCGGCCCGCCCGCGCGCCCGCGCUUCCCACGCUCCGCGCGCCGCUCCGCGCCGCCCAGCGGCCGCCGCCGGCACCACAACCCCGCGGCCCGAGGGGGCUGCGCAGCCCGGCGGGCCGCCGGCCCAGAACGCGGCUGUGGGUUCACACGGGGCUGGGGGACCCCGCAGGCCGACCUCUCCGGCUCCAGCUUCAGCGCAGAGCGGCUCCUGCCCACCGCGUCUCCCAAGGAGGUCCCAGAGCCUCUGCGUGAGUCCCCGAUUCUCCCGUCUGGCGCUCUGACCUUGCCUCCCUUAUUGACCUCAAGGCGGUGGAGGCCGGUGAGCGUGGGGACCACUCGUAGAAUGGAGGUCUUCACAGCUGUGUGGAGGCUUCAGUAGUAGCGGCUCUCGGCCCCAGAGCUCGGGCUCAGCAGUCACGGUGCUGGGCUUAGUCACCCUGGGGCAUGUGGAAUCUUCCCUGACCAGGGAUCACACCUGUGUCCCCGGCAUUGGCAGUAAUUAUCGAUGGCGAGAACUCUCACUUCUCUAUGGUGUCAGAGGGCUUUGAGAAGAGCUGGCCUCCAGCAGCCUGGCUCUCCAGCUUCAUCGCUAGUGAUUUCCUCUCCUCUCUCAUACUUUUCACAUGAACAUCCAGCUCCAGACAAGAUGAAGCAGAUCCACUUUCUCCCUCUUCCUCUGGUUAAGUGCUUCCUAACAUCCCGAACAUCACAGAUACAACAAACAUCUGAAAAGCAAAGCAAAGGCUAGGGACCCCAGGACUCAAGGAGUGACAUGGCACCGAGGUGGUAUCAACAGAGCCCGAGAUGGGUUGCUGAACUUCUGCUCUGGUCCAGCAAUAACGAGAAGCCUGCCACCCCUCAAGUGUCGACGGCUGCAUGGAGACCCUGGACUUUUACCCCCACCUGGCGGUAACCAGGAGGUCACCCUCCACCCCGCCCCACCCUGCCUGGCAGAGCAGUAGGAAAGGGGCCCUGCGGAAACAGAUCAGUCUCAGAACACAAUACCUGAAGUGUCCAAGAUGCAAUUUAAAAUCACUCAUGAUGCCAAGAACCAGGAAAAUUUCAACUUGAAUGAGAAGAGAUAAUUAGCAGAUGCCAACACGGAGAUGACAGAGAUGUUGGAAUUAUCUGACAAGGAUUUAAAAACAACCAUCAUCAACAUGCUUCACUGAGCAAUGGUAACAUUGCUCAAUAACUUAAAGGAACGAAUAGCAAGUCUCAGCGCAGAAAUAAAAGGUGGAAAGAAGGCUCAUAUCCUUUACUUGGGCCUUAAAAGCGCCACUCGUGUUUCCGGGAUGACCACCCUCACCUCGUGCCUGGGCCAAGGCGUCUGCCUCUUCUUAGAACACCCAUCUCUCCUUUUUAAAUCCUGCUUGUCCCGGGGGUCAGCUGAGAUGUCACCUCCUCUGCGAAGCCUUCUUUGACUUCCAUGCCCCUUCCUCCUGAAAGCUCCCCACGCCAUAGCACUCACACUCAACUCCAAUUAUUCUGUCCUCUCUCCCUCCACACCUACCCAGUGUAAAAACUUGCCAG